GACGAACGCUGGCGGCGUGCUUAACACAUGCAAGUCGAACGAAGAGCGAUGGAAGCUUGCUUCUAUCAAUCUUAGUGGCGAACGGGUGAGUAACGCGUAAUCAACCUGCCCUUCAGAGGGGGACAACAGUUGGAAACGACUGCUAAUACCGCAUACGAUCUGACCUCGGCAUCGAGGAUAGAUGAAAGGUGGCCUCUACAUGUAAGCUAUCACUGAAGGAGGGGAUUGCGUCUGAUUAGCUAGUUGGAGGGGUAACGGCCCACCAAGGCGAUGAUCAGUAGCCGGUCUGAGAGGAUGAACGGCCACAUUGGGACUGAGACACGGCCCAGACUCCUACGGGAGGCAGCAGUGGGGAAUCUUCCGCAAUGGACGAAAGUCUGACGGAGCAACGCCGCGUGAGUGAUGACGGCCUUCGGGUUGUAAAGCUCUGUUAAUCGGGACGAAAGGCCUUUUUGCGAAUAGUGAGAAGGAUUGACGGGACCGGAAUAGAAAGCCACGGCGAACUACGU
rnacentral:rRNA from 1 species